GUAGGGAAUAUUGGGCAAUGGAGGCAACUCUGACCCAGCCAUGCCGCGUGCAGGAUGACGGCCCUCUGGGUUGUAAACUGCUUUUAUACGGGAAGAAAAAAUACUACGUGUAGUAUACUGACGGUACCGUAAGAAUAAGGAUCGGCUAACUCCGUGCCAGCAGCCGCGGUAAUACGGAGGAUCCAAGCGUUGUCCGGAUUUAUUGGGUUUAAAGGGUGCGGCGGCGGAUCUUUAAGUCAGUGGUGAAAGCCUGCAGCUUAACUGUAGAAUUGCCAUUGAAACUGAAGAUCUUGAAUGUGGUUAAAGUAGGCGGAAUGUAUCAUGUAGCGGUGAAAUGCUUAGAUAUGAUACAGAACACCGAUAGCGAAGGCAGCUUGCUGAACCAUUAUUGACGCUGAGGCACGAAAGCGUGGGGAGCGAACAGGAUUAGAAACCCUAGUAGUCC
rnacentral:rRNA from 1 species